rnacentral:rRNA from 1 species
GAUGAACGUUGGCGGUGUGCCUAAUACAUGCAAGUCGAACGGAGACUGUAGCAAUACUGUCUUAGUGGCGAACGGGUGAGUAACGCGUUGGUGAUCUGCCUCGAAGUGUGGAAUAACCUCCCGAAAGGGAAGCUAAUACCGCAUAGUCUCUCAAGGUUUAGAAAAUUGAGAGUAAAGGAUUUAUUCGCUUCGAGAGGAGCCUGCGUCCCAUCAGCUAGUUGGUAGGGUAACGGCCUACCAAGGCAAUGACGGGUAGGGGACCUGAGAGGGUGGCCCCCCACAAUGGAACUGAAACACGGUCCAUACACCUACGGGUGGCAGCAGUAGGGAAUAUUAGAAAUGGGCGGAAGCCUGAUCUAGCAACACCGCGUGUGCGAUGAAGGCCUUCGGGUCGUAAAGCACUUUUUGGAGGGAAUAGGAAGGAAGGUACCUCCAGAAUAAGUCUCGGCUAACUACGUGCCAGCAGCCGCGGUAAACACGAGAGUAACGUCGAGACGGGCCGGUGGUCGAACGGACGGCCGACUAAGAG